rnacentral:tRNA from 1 species
UGGCCUUUAGUGAAAUGGCAUCAUAAAAGACUCUGAAUCUUUAGGUAUAGGUUCGAUUCCUGUAAGGCCAG